rnacentral:rRNA from 1 species
ACCUCGGAUCAGGUAGGGAUACCCGCUGAACUUAAGCAUAUCAAUAAGCGGAGGAAAAGAAACCAACAGGGAUUACCUCAGUAACGGCGAGUGAAGCGGUAACAGCUCAAAUUUGAAAGCUGGCUCUUUUAGGGUCCGCGUUGUAAUUUGUAGAAGAUGCUUCGGGUGUGGCCCCGGUCUAAGUUCCUUGGAACAGGACGUCAUAGAGGGUGAGAAUCCCGUAUGUGACUGGGUGCUUUCGCUCAUGUGAAGCUCUUUCGACGAGUCGAGUUGUUUGGGAAUGCAGCUCAAAAUGGGUGGUAAAUUUCAUCUAAAGCUAAAUAUUGGCCAGAGACCGAUAGCGCACAAGUAGAGUGAUCGAAAGAUGAAAAGCACUUUGGAAAGAGAGUUAAACAGUACGUGAAAUUGUUGAAAGGGAAGCGCUUGCAACCAGACUUGCGCGCUGAUGAUCAUCCGGGCUUCUGCCCGGUGCACUCGUCUGCGCUCAGGCCAGCAUCGGUUUCGGUGGUGGGAUAAAGGCCUUGGGAAUGUGGCUCCUCUCGGGGAGUGUUAUAGCCCUCGGUGCAAUGCCGCCAACCGGGACCGAGGACC